CAUGACUGAAUGUGCUUCUGUCCAUCAUCUGGGUCAUAUAUAGUUCAAUGCGAGCUGAGCAGACAGGGCUGCAAGGAAAUCUGGCGCAGUUCAAUACCUCGUCUAGCCUGGGUUCCAGUAUUUAAUUUUUUUUACUGACAAACUCAUUUCUCUACCGGGACAGGAUGCUGUGCUGGCUGGAAGUUCCAUUUCUACAGCAAGAAUCCUAUCUGGAAACACAGAAGUUGUCCUCUAGCCACAGCAGCUCGAACUUUUUUGAUUGUUGUUGCUGCUUUCUCCCUUCACCCCUACCCCCUUUUGACAAAGAUCCAACUGUAAAAAGUCUUACGUAACAGUUCAGGACUACUUCGGUUCUUUUACUGGUAUAUCAAGAGGCCUCAAGAGGACUAUGAAAACAAUUACUUCUCCAACAUGGAGCAAUGCGGGUUUCAAUAUUUUGUAGAAUCUCUGGAAAAGGAAAAGAGGUGACUCCUAUUCUACACUGAUAAAUAAAAUUACGAUUCGAUAUCUGUUGAUUCUCAUGGAAUGGAAAAGUAUAAAUGGGACACCUGGGUGACUCAGCAAUUGAGCGUCUGCCUUUGGCUCAGGGUGUGAUCAAGUCCUGCAUUGGGCUCCUUGCAUGAAGCAUGCUUCUCCUCCUCUACCUGUGUCUCUGCCUCUCUUUCUGUGUCUCUCAUGAAUAAAUAAAAAUCUUAAAAAAAAAAAAAAAGAAUUGUCUAAAUCACAUUUGGCUAGAGAUUCUAUGCAGAAAUGUUAAAUGAGUUAGGCUUACUUGGCCCAGCAAGAAGAAUAAUGUAACAAUAAUCUUAAUGAAGGCCUUUCCUGGAAGAUGAGCAGGAGCUGUUUUCAACUGCUAUUAAGUGCAGAAAAGGAGAAUACAUU